AGCCGUCCGAUCGUCUCCUUCAGGUUUCGCAGAAGAGCGAAACCAAAUGAAGGAACGAAACAGCGACAAACAUCAAAAGCGCUUUCUGUUCUUGUCCUCCUCCUCCAAUCCAUUCACUGCUACAAUAUCUACCCAGAAAACCUAGCCAUCGAUUUCUAGCACUGUUUAUUCUCCAUCCGUAGCUUUGCUUCCUCUGCUCGGCCGGAUUCUGUCGAUCCAUUCCAGCCGCUUCGGGCUGCACCCAGCUGCAAAUCUCAAGCUGAGCAGCCGGGCACUGCUUCAAAAUUUCAAAUUUGGAGGACCCCGAUUGAACUCUGGUGCCGAGGCCCGUGCUGGGUCCCCUUCGUUUCUUGGGUCCCUUCCCUUUCUUGAAGGUUAAUUGAGUCCUGAUAGCUGGUUCAGCUACAAAUACAGGGAAUUUGAGCUCGGAUUCGAUGGGGGGAAGGGGAGGAUCCGGGCAAGGAGAAGCAAUCGGAUACGGCUGCAAAUGCAGAUGCCGCAACACCCCGCCAAGAAGCUAGCGAGACAGCUCGAUUUCACAGGGUUUAGCGGGGACCAUCGGGGGAGGCAGCUCAGUGCUGCCGGCGCAUCCAGAGACAUAGACGCCGUUCAAACUAAGGAGGCUUGGCUGCAAACUGGCCCGGCCCUGGCCCGCCUCGGCCUGUCCCUCUAAGGGUACCUCAUCCCACAGUUAGGGCAGUCAAAUUGAAUCCCCUAAGGCAAGACCAAGAUCGAAUGUAGAUGGAAAAGAUGGCACGCCAAAGAAACAAAAGCAGUGCAACCGUAAACGUUCGCGAUGCUUGAAGCUGCAAGUACCCUCAUCUAAGAAAGUUUUUAGUGAUGUCUCAUUGAAAAUGCAUUUAUUUGCUGGUAUUUUGAAUGCUUCUUGUCAUUGUUAUCCUGUAAAGAUAUUAUUGCACUGUGAAGAGAAUAGGCAUUUCAUCAUGUUUGACAAAGCAUUAAUUUAAUAGGUUUUGUUUUCAAACUAUCAAUGAGAAAAGGGUUAUAGUUCUUGGAUGAUUUGUUCUUUGAAAAUAAGAUCACUGAAGUGUUAGCAUUUCUGUAAACAAUUAAAUAUUUCAGUCUUAUCUGUUAAUGCUACGUAAGAUUACUACUCUGUGUAAAAACCGUACCCCUUGCUCUGCUUUUUCCUGUCAAAUGGAGAAAACCUAACUUGUCUGCUCAGAAAUAUAUGUUUUUGAUAGGUUACAUCCCACUUAUUGAUAAAGAAGAAAAGAAUGUAUUAUUCUGUAGGUUCACUUGCAUUACAUGCAUGAAAUUCAGCUUGAGGUGCAGCUUUGUUCCCUAUUCUCAUUGAUCAGAUACUUGGGCACUCUAAGUGCUAGGUGGGAGAUAGAGUCAUGAUAUUGAUGCUUGUUGCCAUAAAAUUUUGAGCAAAGUAACCUAUCGUGGAGGCUAUUUAAAAAAAAACUUAUUUUUCAGAUAACCAAGUCUCAAGUAAAAUGAUAGGUGCUAGGUCCACUACGUAAAAAAUUGCAUCAGUUAAAAUGAUAUCGGUCUCAUUUGGUUGCGACAACCAUGAACAUUAAUGUGGUCAAUGGCAUGUACAUAUAUGAUAAGAAAUACUGUCCAUAUCUACUUAGAUUUUAAUAUUAAUACUCAGUGUUUUCUCAUUUUGGUUGAUUAAAUUGUCUUUUUAGAAAACAAACUUUUUGUCCUACAGAUAAAUUUAUGAGUGUGGUGAUCUGAGUUUUCACUGAGAUAAUAAUAUAUAUAUCUUUUUUUUUCUUUUUUUCUUUUUUGGUGAAUGCUUGCAUCACUUUUAUGGGUGGAGCGGCAGUUCCACAGUUAAUGCAUACAAAAGGAAUUCAUCAUGUUUUAUCUUUUCCCCUUUGUUGACCUGCGUCCUGUAUUAUUGACCUGUUUUGCAUAGCUGACAGAGAUUGGGUCCAAUUUUGUUUUUUUUUGUUUUUUUUUGUUUUCUGAAUAUGAAUGCACAUGUUUCUGUUUAAUAGUGUUUUUCUGCGUACAAAAUCGCCUGUCUUGUUCCUCUUCAUCUUCAUAUAAUAAGCUUCAGCUUCUCUGCCUGCUUUUCAUGAAAAUAGAGGAAAAGAGUAAAGAGGUGAUGAUGAUCUGUGGAGAAGAAGAAAUUUUAAUCAGAACUUAGCAGGCACAAGGGGCUGUCCAUAGCUUGGCGUGGUGGCUCCAAGAAGCUGCAGCCUUAGCUCGGCUCCUUGUUUGUCUGAUCAGAAGCCAGAGUCUGAGCCUCAUUAAGUAAAGAUUACUCUUUGUGGGCAUUGGGAAGCAAGGAAAAUUCACUGGAGUCUUUCUGAGGGUUUUCUUGGUUCUCCAACUUAUUAGUUUAAGAAUUGAGGCUUUGCUCUUGAGAAGCCAUUGAUGGUGGCCUUCUCCAAAAAACAGCGGAGCCAGUGAUUUCUCAAACUAUUUGAUUUUUAAAGUUUCACCAGUUUUUCUCAAUAGAGAUAACAGCAACAGCAACAAGCAAGCACUGAUUUCUACAUUCAUUUUGCUUGUAUGCGUACCUUCCAAACCCAAAAACAAAAGCAAAAGAUACUUCUGCAAGACAUAUAUCACCAUCACCAUCAACUUCAUCAUCAUCAUCAUCUUCGCUACCAAAGAGAUACAACAGAUACUUCUUCCUACAGAGAUAGAAACUAUGAAGGCACAAUGAGGACUUCCGCAGACUGAAAAUCGGAAAAUUUACAGUCACAAGGAGGUAUUUGUAGUUUGGCAUGGUGGCUUUGAAAAGCUGCAGCCACUGCAGAGUACCGCACUUGCACUCAGCCGCCUAACUGGUUUUGUCAUCAAUGCUAUUGUUAUUAUUAUUAUUAUUAUUAUUGAAGAAUGAAAAGCGAAAAAUCCGUCUCUCUGACCCUGUUUACCUGUGAUGAUGGGGAACGGAAAACUAUUAAAGCAUUAUUUGCUUAUGGGAGUAGUUGAUUCACCUGACUCUGAUGUUGGAAGAGUGCGCUAUACUAUGAGGCAGUGAUGAUUAUGCAAACAAAAAUUUAUAAUAAACUAUGGACAGUGGCAGUCCUGGUGAGGUUCUGCUGGUCCUAUGCCUUUACUUGCCUGGAAAUAAAUUCCCAAAAUCUGAGCCUCCAACAUCUGUUCCUUUAAUGCUUGUGCUAAUACCUCAGGGUCCAUUCUUGAGCAUGUUCGGGGAGGCUUAAGAAUCCCAGCUCUUCAUUUAGGGAUGCAUUUUUAAAGGUUCAUCUAUUCCUUCUUUGUCAGUAGUCCCUUGGUAUAUAUUGAACAUCUGUGAUCGGAAGCUGAGCUGAUGAUUACUCAAAAAUCUGUUUCCUGAAAAACCAUUGAUUUCUGAAAGUUCACCAGAUUUGUCUGGUACCAAAGAAGAAAGUGAAAACCAUAUGCUAUGAGAAGCUUACGAGCUUUAUCUAUUCGUUCA